AAGACGAGAUAACUUAAAUGUUGCUCUUACAUUGGUUCUACCUAACGACCUACGCCUUGGGUCUUCGGUCUUGAACUUUUGAGCUCGCCUUGGCUUGUCUAAGCAAUCUCUUCAUCAAUAUGCUUCUUGGCAUCCAAUCUUGAUUGUUUGAUUCAUCAUCAUUGAUUCGUCAACCAUCUCGAUUGUUUGCUAAUGCAUCUUCAUC
rnacentral:lncRNA from 1 species